GGCUCGGUAGCUUAGUUGGAAAAACACUAGUCUAUCAUACAAGAGUCGUGGGUUGGAAUCCCACCUAAGCAC
rnacentral:tRNA from 1 species